GAUGAACGCUGGCGGCGCGCCUAAUACAUGCAAGUCGAGCGAAUGGAUUAAGAGCUUGCUCUUAUGAAGUUAGCGGCGGACGGGUGAGUAACACGUGGGUAACCUGCCCAUAAGACUGGGAUAACUCCGGGAAACCGGGGCUAAUACCGGAUAACAUUUUGAACCGCAUGGUUCGAAAUUGAAAGGCGGCUUCGGCUGUCACUUAUGGAUGGACCCGCGUCGCAUUAGCUAGUUGGUGAGGUAACGGCUCACCAAGGCAACGAUGCGUAGCCGACCUGAGAGGGUGAUCGGCCACACUGGGACUGAGACACGGCCCAGACUCCUACGGGAGGCAGCAGUAGGGAAUCUUCCGCAAUGGACGAAAGUCUGACGGAGCAACGCCGCGUGAGUGAUGAAGGCUUUCGGGUCGUAAAACUCUGAUGUUAGGGAAGAACAAGUGCUAGUUGAAUAAGCUGGCACCUUGACGGUACCUAACCAGAAAGCCACGGCUAACUACGUGCCAGCAGCCGCCGUAA
rnacentral:rRNA from 1 species